CUUCAACGUUCUUAGCGAGCAGCGAGAGACGUUGAGAGGAGAGCUGUGAGACUCUGUGAGCAUCUUUGAGCUGAGAAAGGAGAGAAAAACUCUACAAAACACUGAGAAAAGUCAUCAGAAGACCUCUACACGACCAGAAGAAGAACUUCAGACCAGGACCAGAACUUCAGAAAAAGGACUUAUAAGACGACGAGACCAGAAAAGUGAACCAUGGCCCUGCGCAUGGCUCAAGUGACAAGAAAGCUGAAAAACCUUUGAACACAAUUUCAGACAUCCAGAUACUUCAUAACCAGCUGGAGGUGCCAAACACUGCGGAC
rnacentral:lncRNA from 1 species